rnacentral:rRNA from 1 species
GCGAAAUACUAAUCGAACUGUCUAGUAGCUGGUUCCCUCCAAAGUUUCCCUCAUGAUAGCUGGAACUCACGAGCGAUUUCUAUCAAGGAAAGCCAAUGAUAGAGGCCUCAGGGGCGCAAUGCCCUCGACCUAUUCUCAAACUUUAAAUAGGUAGGACAGCGCGGCUGCUUUGCUGUGCCACGCCACAGAAUCAAGAGCUCCAAGUGGGACAUUUUUGGUAAGAAGAAUUGGUGAUAUGGGAUGAACCGAAAGUCAGGUUAUGGUGCCAAACUGCACGUUAACCUAGAUCCCACAAAAGGUGUUGGUCGAUUAAGACAGCAGGAUGAUGGUCAUAGAAGUCGAAAUCCACUAAAGAAUGUGUAACAACUCACCUUCCAAAUCAACUAACCCUAAAAAUAGAUGGCUCUUAAGCGCGCGACCUACACCUGGUCGUUGGGGCAAGUUCCAGGCCUCGAUGAGUAGGAGGGCAUGGUGGUCGCUGCAAAACCUUAGGCGCGAUCCUGGGUAGAGCGGCCGUCGGUGUAGAUCUAGGUGGUAGUAGAAAAUAUUCAAAUGAGAACUUUGAAGGCUAAAGAGGAGAGAGGUUCCAUGUGAAUGACACUUGCACAUGGGUUAGUCGAUCCUAAAGGUCGGGGGAACCCCGAUAGUAGCGCAUUUUGUGCGUACUCCAAAAGGGAAUUGGGUUACAAUUCCUGAAUCGAGAUAUGGCGGCUGACGUCAACAUUACGAAGUCUGGAUACGUCAGCGGGAGCCUUGGGAAGAGUUAUCUUUUUUGUUUAAUAGCCUGCCUACUCUGGAAUCGGCUCAGCCAGAGGUAGGGUCCAGAGGCUGGAAGAGCACCGCACACUGCGUGGUGUCCGAUGCUCUCCCGACGGCCCUUAAAAAUAUGAAGGACCGAAUUCCAUCCACUCCCGGUCGCACUCUUAACCGCAUCAGGUGUCCAAGGUGAACAACCUCUAGUCGAUGGAAUAAUGUAGGCAAGGAAAGUCGGUAAAAUGGAUCUGUAACUUCGGGAAGAGGAUUGACUCUGAGGGCUGGGCACGGGGGUCCCAGUCCCGAACCCAUUGGUUGUUGGUGUAUUGCACGAGCUGCUCCCGCAGCAAGAGCGGGUUGCUGCGUGCCGACCUGGGGACAUACUGGGAACGGUUCCUUCGAGGGCCUUCCCCGCGCGUCAAACAACCAACUCAGAACUGGUACAAACAAGCAGAAUCCGACUGUUUAACUAAAACAAAGCAUUGCGAUAGUCCCAAUGGAUAUUCAUGCAAUGUGAUAUCUGCCCUGUGCUUUAAUUGUCAAAGUGAAGAAAUUUAACCAAGCGCAGGUAAACAGCGGGAGUAACUAUGACUCUCUUAAGGUAGCCAAAUACCUCGUCAUCUAAUUAAUGAUGCACAUGAAUGGAUUAACGAGAUUCCCACUAUCCUUGUCUACUAUUC